rnacentral:ncRNA from 2 species
GAGGGGAAAGGUUCCAUGU